AAGAAGGCACAAAUCUACACCCAGUGCGACAGAGCUCUGACCCCCUAACGCCAGUUGGAGAAAAAGGAAGGAUCCAACAAAUGAGGGCUGCUUACAGAACACCAGCUGGCCUGACGUGACUUCUCCAGCACCAUCUGCCUCCAAACAGGCUCUCACCUGGGCUCCAGGCUGCUUCCUGGGGGAGCCCCAGGCUAUGAGCAAUCCUGAUCCCCACUGAUAGCCACCUCUCCAGAGGGCCUCCUUUGGGAGCGACCAGUUGUCCAGGUAUCAGAUUCAGUCUCUCACCCUCAGGCAAGCGUGAAACUAACCUUCUCUGAUGACCUUCUUUCAAGCCUUCUGCUCCCUGUCUGCUCCUGAAGUGCCUUUCAAGAAAGGAAGCGUGCUCUUCUUUUCUCCUUUUUCUUGGAAAUGUUGUUGUGAUGGCUGGAGCUCAAGCAGUCAGCUGGGACCCUGAAGUGAAAGUCAGAUGCCAGAGAAUACAGAGCGGCUCAAUUCUUAAUGACAUAUGUUCGAGUAUAACAGUCAGUUGAAAGGUCAAAGAAACUGAUCAAAUUUCACUGGAGAGUAACCAAACGUAAAUAAUAAUCACUUUAUAUUUUUAAGAAUGACACUAAAAAAUAAGGCAAUAUUUUUUAAUUUUUUUUUUACAUUUAUUUAUUUUUGAGACACAGAGAGACAGAGCACAAGUGGGAAGGCGCAGAGAGAAAAGGAGCCAGAAUCUGAAGCAGGCUCCAGGCUCUGAGCUGUCAGAACAGAGCCCGACGUGGGGCUCGAACUCACAAACUAUGAGAUCAUGACCUGAGCCGAAGUUGGACGCUCAAUCAACCGAGCCAUCCAGGCGCCCCAAUAAGGCAAUAUUUUUAACUGGGAAGGAAUUCUUGAUACGGUUUUAAGAGAUUGAGCUGUUGUAUUAAUGAAUAAAUUUUCACAUCUCAAAAAUGUAAAUGCCAAAAUACAAUGAAAUCAAGCUUUCUUGCUGAAUUAAAUGAUUUUGAUGUC